GCACAAGAACCAAAAGCUGAGUCCUGGAAAUUAGUUCAGCCAAGAGUGCCCAUAGUGGGAUAAGCUGUGCAGCCCAAUCUUCUGUGUUAACAUACCCUGAGGUUACUUUGGCUUGUAUUUGCUGCUGAAGGGAGCAUUACCUAACAGAGGCUCUAAACUUCGUAGAUCAGAUGCACCUCCAACCACACUGUGGGGACAGUGUCAUCUGACAAUGACUGUGAAAAGGAUUGGAAGGGAAGAUGUGUAAGAAAAAGCAUGCCACCCUGAUGCAAAAUUGCAGAAUCUUUGAUGCAGUUGCUCUGUCCACAAAUUCUUUGGUAAGUUCCAGCUCCUGCCUACAACAGGAGCCUACAAAGUUGAAGACCUCAGAAAACCUAUACAAGUCUCCAU